GGUCCUGGGUUGAACCAACUGCGGACCAUCAAUCUUGAGCAGGUAAUGAAACCUCCUUAAAAAGGACGGUAGCCUUCGAAGCUUCUAGGUUGGUGAAAGCUUGGAGGCGUGGGGAGAGCGUGUGCCUGGAGAGGGUGUGGAGUCGCCCUUUCCCCGUGCUUUGCGUCUCUUCCAUCUGGCUCUUCCUGGGUUAUCGCUUCUUGGGAUAAUCUGCCUACCUAAGAGUCUCUAUUAAUUACAAAUGGAAAACGGUACCAUUCCCUGGAGAAAGAGGACACACACCAUCUUGAUCAAGUGAUCAAGCCCUCACAUCACCAAUAACGACGUCCACUGAUUGGCAUUAUGUGCUUCUGCUGUGAUACAAAGGAGAUACCUACUAAAGUGCUUGGGAUAGAUCUCUGCAGCUCAAUUUUAAAAGGAACAGAAACGCCUCAAGCUCCCGACCACAGGAUUUGCGGUACACACGCCCUCUCGCUGAGAUUUAUUUCGCGCAGCUGGAGGAUCAGAUUGGGCGCCUCGAGGCGGAAAUACGCAACGGCAGUUUCCGGUGACCGCAGAGGCGUCCAAAGCAGCAGAAUGGAGGAGGUACCGCACGACUGUCCCGGGACCGGCAGUGCCCAGGCGGGUCGAGGGGCUUCAUGUCAGGGGUGUCCGAACCAGCGGCUAUGCGCUUCUGGAGCUGGUGCCGCGCCGGACCCGGCCAUAGAGGAAAUCAAAGAGAAAAUGAAGACCGUGAAACACAAGAUCUUGGUGCUGUCUGGGAAAGGCGGCGUGGGGAAAAGCACCUUCAGCGCCCACCUGGCCCACGGCCUAGCGGAGGAUGAGAACACGCAGGUGGCUCUCCUAGACAUUGACAUCUGCGGGCCGUCGAUCCCCAAGAUCAUGGGACUGGAGGGAGAACAGGUUCACCAGAGCGGCUCGGGCUGGUCUCCAGUGUUCUUGGAAGACAACUUGGGGGUGAUGUCGGUGGGUUUCUUGCUCAGCAGUCCUGAUGACGCCGUCAUCUGGAGAGGACCAAAGAAAAAUGGCAUGAUCAAGCAGUUCCUCCGAGACGUGGACUGGGGGGAGCUCGACUACCUCAUCGUGGACACCCCGCCCGGGACGUCGGACGAGCACCUGUCGGCCGUGCAGUACCUGGCCGGGGCGCACAUCGACGGGGCGGUGCUCAUCACCACGCCGCAGGAGGUGUCACUCCAGGACGUGCGCAAAGAGAUCAGCUUCUGCCACAAGGUGAAGCUGCCCAUCAUCGGGGUGGUGGAGAACAUGAGCAGCUUCCUCUGCCCCCGCUGCCAGAAAGAGUCUCAGAUCUUCCCGCCCACGACCGGGGGGGCGGAGGUCAUGUGCCAGGACCUGAAGAUCCCGCUCCUCGGCAAGGUGCCUCUGGAUCCGCGCAUAGGUGGGUGCAGCGCCGCCGCCGCGAGGGGCUCCCCACCUCCUCCGCUGAGAGGAGCAGAGGAACAGGGGCCCCCGGGAGGAGGCAGGCCUGGAAGGGCGGAGAAGAGACGGUUGGGGGCGCCAGGCACAGGGAGGGCCCUCAGGGGUCCCCCAAGGAGCGGGGCGAGCAUGAGAGGGGCGCCGUCCUCACAGGACUAGGUUCUGACAUGAAAGUCAAGGCCAGGAUCAGCCUUGAAAACCCCGAAGGAGGUGCCCUGCUCCCCACCGCCUGUGGCCUGUCUACAGGAAGCCCAGCCCAGCCCUGCUCACGCCUGCUGCUCUCGUGAGCACCCCUUCAGGGCCCGCUGUUCUGCUCUGCGCUCCGAGUCCCCAGUCCCUCGAGGUGCUGCUCUGUGAGCACACAGGGGACGAAGGCAGGGUGAUGAGGGCCCCCCACUCUUUUAGCGACACCCCCACUGCCAGACUUUUGUUUGAACCUGAAGUCAGACAUGCCUGAGGGGGGUCGACAGAGACAGACAGGAGCACAGAGCCCAGGUGGGGCCUGUCCCCAGUCCUCAGUCCUGAGGGGCUUGGCACGUGGCCACUGUGGGCACCGGGGCUGAGGCUGAAUGUGGCGGCAGCGGGGAGAGGGUCAGUUAGGUCAGGGUCGGGGCGCUGGAGUGGAGAAGAAGGGACACAGGGCAAGUGACAGGGUUUGAUGUCUCAUGUCCAUGCCGCCCAGCGUGAGGCAGCGGGGACAUGGGGACAGCACCCGAAAGCACGCACACAGGAGGUGCCGUCGCGGGGAAGGCGGGCUCCCUCCUGGGCACUGUGGAGGCUCUGCAGGCUGUGGCGAGGGGGUGCCUGCCUUAAGGUGGCCUGGGAAUCACCCCGACCAUCCAGGGAGGCAUUUCCUGAGACCCCGCCUCGCCUGUUGCCUCGUCCAGAACCCUCCUGGCUGGGGUUGCCCCGCGGACUAGAACCCUCCAGCCGCUUCUUCCGCCUUUCCGAACGCCGCGAGCUGUGGUUGCAUUGACUGCCGUGGUGCAGCGUCCCUCGUGCUCGUGGGAGCAGGUGCUCCUCGCGGAGGCGCGUGAUGUGUGGGUGACAGGGUGGGCAGUGGCAGCCGGGCACGGCCACCGCCAUCUCCCUCAGGCCUCAGAGCACCUGACGGGACAGAACGGCGGAGCCCAGGCUGCCAGUGGCAGCUUCGGGGCUCCGUUCCGAGCUGAGACUGAGUGCUGUCGAGCGGGCGAGGCCUCACGAGAGGACACCCACGUCCCCAGACCUCCCCUCUAGUGGAAAGCACAGGGAGCGAGAGGAGGGACCGCCGCCGAGCACCUGUAGGCGCUACAGAAAGUCGUACGGGGCUGAGGAGGUCACCCACCUUCCGCAGCUGCUUUUGUCCAGGAGGGAACAGCCAUGUUCCUGGGAACAGAGGGGAGGGUCCCUCUGGGGACAUGUGGGCAGAGGAGCUGCCAGUCUCUAGCACCAAGGUCCUUGGCCUCCCUGGCCCCACAGGCCCCUGGGGCCGCCGCCCAGCCCUCCACCAGCGCUGCUCCGCUGCCAGCUCUGAGCCUGGAGGCCUCCAUCUGUCAGGUGGGGACAGUGACGGAGAUGACCGCGGGGCUGCCGGGUGGAAUGAAAGGUACAAGCAAAGGCCCGGCAGAAGGCCGUGCCCCAGGCGCUACUUGCAGAGAGGCAGGAAAGGGGGGUGUGUGUGGGGGUGACCAGCACCUUUGUAAGGGGAGGACCAGCAGUGAGAGGACAUGGGGCAAAGAUCAGAAGAAAGUGGCCCCACAUGUCUGCUGUGGGACCUGUAACUUCCUAGCCCUGGGCCACGUGGGGCCCCACUCUGCCCUCCCCUCUUGGCUGUCCCUGCCCACCGGGCAGUGCACUAGGGAGUAGCUGGGGGUCGUGGAAGCGCUGCUCCCGCUUCUCCAGCAGGGCUCAGUGUGCACGGGGGUCGACCCAGGGUCAGACAGGAGGGGGCACACCGCCUGCCUGAGGCCCCCGCCUUGUGCUCACCUGGACACGAGACAACCUGUACGUCCACGGGAGGCGCCGGAGUGGACAGUCCAGGGACCGGCUAGCAGACGACGGCUGUCCGCGUGGGGUGCCCUUCCAGAUAAAAUCACACACGGAGAGAGCGGUGGCGCAGCAUGUGUGUCAUGCACACCCAGCAUUAUUUCUUAAAUACGUGGUUUGUGUACCUGCUGCAUUUGCGUCCGUGCAGUAGUUCUACCUGCAGCACUGGCAGCCCCCUUUGAACGCAGCCUUCCCGUAUAACCUUUUGUCCUCCAUGCCUUCCCCACGUGCAUUCCUGGUCUCGCCAGAGGAUGCCUUGAUCUGUACAUGCAGGUUCCUAGGCCCACGCAGCCACUGCAUCCGUUCUGUACGGGGCCCUGGAACCUGCAUUUGCCACACGCCACCCAGAUGACUCGUAGGCACACACACUAACCACACAGCCAGGCUCGGGUCAGGGUCCCCUCUGGGCGGGGGGGAAGCAGGUGCGGUCCUCAAGCCCCCAACUUCCUGUCUCAGCUUCCUCCGCCGUUACGAGUGAGGUGGGCUCAGGAAGGAGCAUCCGUGUCCCGGGCCCAGAAGGAGCCCCGAGUUCAUGUCACCACUGGUUUCUUCAUGGAUUUAAUUUUCUUUCACUUCUUUCUUUAAGCUAAGAGUUGUGACAAAGGACAGUCUUUUUUGGUCGAAGCUCCGGAUUCACCAGCCACCCUGGCCUAUAGAAGUAUAAUCCAGAGAAUCCGGGAGUUCUGCGAUCUGCGUCCGCCUGAAGGAGCGAACCACGUCGCCUCCUGAAGGAGGAAGGGUGUCCGGGGCACAGGCAGCGCAUCCAUCCCCCGAGCAGCCUGGGGAGAAGGUGGGGCGGCACAGGCAGGAAGGGCCCAGCCCCGGGCAUGGCGUGGAGAGCCUUGCAGAGACUUUACUCGUCGUUCCCUGAGCACAAGCUGUACAGAGCCGUGUUUACAGACGUGCCAUUUAGAAAAUAAAAACCUCUCAAGCCUCGGCCCCGAGGCCUGCUCCACGGGAAGACCUCCUGCCUGCGGGUCCUGGCGCUCGUCUCUGUCGGCAGCUCGACCGCAGAACCUCCCCCUCGAGCCCCUGCUGUCUCGGAAAAUAAGCCUAAAAAAGAACCACAGAGAUAAAGAGAUGAAUGUGUGGCCUCACUGCCGACACACAGUCACGCUGUCAGGGAGCCCGUGCUCAGAGAGAGGAGGCAUUAAAGUGACGGACAGAGCCCCCCCACCCCCGAGGCCAGUGCAUGAAGCGCGGCCAGGCAUAGUCACCCUCGGAAAAGCCCUCGUCACCCACAGCAUCAGACCUGGGGUCAACACCCUGUAUGGUAAUCCAUGUCCCCUAUACCCACUAGUUUCCAGCAUCAAACAAGACAAUUUACAGGGUUUUAAAAAUUACAUAAAAAGGAGUUCCCUCUGUGGCUUAAUGGUUAAUGAACCCGACUAGCAUCCAUCAGGACAUGGGUUCGAUCCCUGGCCUUGCUCAGCGGGUUAAGGAUCCGGGGGUGUAGGUCGCAGAUGCGGCUGGGAUCUGGCCUUGCUGUGGCUAUGGCAUAGGCCGGCGGCUACAGCUCUGAUUCGGCCCCUAGCCUGGGAACCUCCAUCUGCCAAGGGUGCAGCCCUAAAAAGAAAAAAAACAAAAAAAUUACGUAAAAAAGAAGAUGCAAACUCUAGGAUGAUGCUCAUCGCCCUGAGGUGCUCACUCUGUCUGAAAGACACAGGACCCUGAGCAGCUGAGGGAAGAGUAAAUCCCACUUCCCAUCUUCCUCUGGCCAGCCCCCUCCCAUUCCCAUCACCCCCCACCCCACCCCUGCACAGGGUGGAAUCUGCACCUGUUCCACGCCUGGUGGGGCGGUCCCCUCUGAAGGGCCACGACGCCACACCAUCGCCUGGGGAGGCCCUGGACAAGCCUGCCCAGACCACAGGCGGCUGAGCCCAGGGAGGCCUUGCUUCCCCGAGCCCCCAGCCCGGCCACCACCCCGACCUCCCCCCCCCCGCCCCCGCUUACCUAAUGCUUGUGAAUCUCCAGCCCCUCGAGUCCAGGCUUCUGAAAGUCGCUUGGACAGGCCUGCGAGGGAAAGAGGGAGCCCGGCUUUCUGUCUCACAUGAGCAUGGCUUGACACUGCCCGUUCAAGCCCAGAGCAGACCCACAGUCAACUGAGAGCCUGUAGGACUGGUCGCUCAGGGUCUUGGCAUAAAGCUGCUCUGUUCACAUUUAAGAUGAUUCAAGCCAUUUCCAGAUGCGUUUGGUCAAACUGAAAAGAUCAGUUUCUCAGAAAGUCCCCUGUGGUGCAGGGGGUUAAGGAUCCAGCACUGCCACAGCUGUGGCUUGGGCUGCCCAUUGAUCCCUGGCCCGGGAACUUGCACAUGCCGUGGGUGCGGCCAAAAAGAUAAAAAAUAAAAGAUCUAUUUCUCACUUCUAGAACUA